rnacentral:rRNA from 1 species
ACUCCUACGGGAGGCAGCAGUGAGGAAUAUUGGGCAAUGGGCGAAAGCCUGACCCAGCCACGCCGCGUGGAGGACGAAGGCCUUCGGGUCGUAAACUCCUGUCAGUUGGGACGAAAAGCUGUCGGUCAAUAGCCGGCAGUCAUGACGGUACCACCAGAGGAAGCUCCGGCUAACUCCGUGCCAGCAGCCGCGGUAAU